GAGUUUGAUUCAUGGCUCAGAGUGAACGCUGGCGGCAUGCUUUACACAUGCAAGUUCGAACGGUAACAGGGAGCUUGCUCCGCUGACGAGUGGCGAACGGGUGAGUAAUAUAUCGGAACGUACCCAAGAGUGGGGGAUAACGUAGCGAAAGUUACGCUAAUACCGCAUACGAUCUAUGGAUGAAAGCAGGGGACCUUCGGGCCUUGUGCUCCUGGAGCGGCCGAUAUCUGAUUAGCUAGUUGGUGAGGUAAAGGCUCACCAAGGCGACGAUCAGUAGCUGGUCUGAGAGGACGACCAGCCACACUGGAACUGAGACACGGUCCAGACUCCUACGGGAGGCAGCAGUGGGGAAUUUUGGACAAUGGGCGCAAGCCUGAUCCAGCAAUGCCGCGUGAGUGAAGAAGGCCUUCGGGUUGUAAAGCUCUUUUGUCAGGGAAGAAACGGCUGUGGCUAAUAUCCACGGCUAAUGACGGUACCUGAAGAAUAAGCACCGGCUAACUACGUGCCAGCAGCCGCGGUAAUACGUAGGGUGCAAGCGUUAAUCGGAAUUACUGGGCGUAAAGCGUGCGCAGGCGGUUUUGUAAGUCUGUCGUGAAAUCCCCGGGCUCAACCUGGGAAUUGCGAUGGAGACUGCAAGCUAGAAUCUGGCAGAGGGGGGGUAGAAUUCCACAUGUAGCAGUGAAAUGCGUAGAGAUGUGGAGGNACACGAUGNCGAANGCAGCCCCNUGGGUCAAGAUUGACGCUCAUGCACGAAAGCGUGGGGAGCAAACAGGAUUAGAUACCCUGGUAGUCCACGCCCUAAACGAUGUCUACUAGUUGUCGGGUUUUAAUUAACUUGGUAACGCAGCUAACGCGUGAAGUAGACCGCCUGGGGAGUACGGUCGCAAGAUUAAAACUCAAAAGGAAUUGACGGGGACCCGCACAAGCGGUGGAUGAUGUGGAUUAAUUCGAUGCAACGCGAAAAACCUUACCUACCCUUGACAUGUCAGGAAGACCGGAGAGAUCUGGUUGUGCCCGAAAGGGAACCUGAACACAGGUGCUGCAUGGCUGUCGUCAGCUCGUGUCGUGAGAUGUUGGGUUAAGUCCCGCAACGAGCGCAACCCUUGUCAUUAGUUGCUACGCAAGAGCACUCUAAUGAGACUGCCGGUGACAAACCGGAGGAAGGUGGGGAUGACGUCAAGUCCUCAUGGCCCUUAUGGGUAGGGCUUCACACGUCAUACAAUGGUACAUACAGAGGGCCGCCAACCCGCGAGGGGGAGCUAAUCCCAGAAAGUGUAUCGUAGUCCGGAUCGUAGUCUGCAACUCGACUACGUGAAGUUGGAAUCGCUAGUAAUCGCGGAUCAGCAUGCCGCGGUGAAUACGUUCCCGGGUCUUGUACACACCGCCCGUCACACCAUGGGAGCGGGUUUUACCAGAAGUAGGUAGCUUAACCGCAAAGGAGGGCGCU
rnacentral:rRNA from 1 species